GGGAUUUGUAAUGAUCACUUGGAAAAGUUUUGCAUUUUAUCUUUAGAUAUUUUUGUGUGACUAAUCAUUUUUUGUUAAGCUUAUAGUUACCAAUUCCUAGCAUAGCAUGAAGUGAUACACAGAAAAGAACAAAGUAAAAAAUGAAUGUAAAAGAACUUGGAUUAUUAAUAAUGCAGGAAAAUAUAGUGAUAAUGACUCAUAUCUCCCAAAGGUAGAACUCUUUUGGCAGUGAACAGUUGUUGUCAGAAUACAUUGACAUAAUAGCGAACACAUUAUAGAGGGAUUGAACAAUAAUCUGAGAUCAGUGUAAUUCAAGAACAUUAUUCAGUUUUUGUAUAUUUCCAAAACAUUUGUUUCUGUACAGUCUGUGACUCUAAAUAUUUUUUUUGCAGUUGAAAGGGAAGUUGAAUAUGCCUGAUUCAGGGCUGGCACUGGAAGAAGGUGUUCUUUGGCUUUUCCAAGAUCACCAAAAAGCAAUCUUAAUACUUGUAGUAGUGGCAGAUUGCUUGCACUUCACAGCUGAGGACUGCAAGUUCCUUUCUCUUGGAAAUGGAGAAGUAGGAUUGGAGCCACAAGGACAGAUUCAGAGGAGAGAACAGAGAAAGGGAACUACAGAAGCCCACAGAGCUCUCCCACAGGAUGAGUGGGACAAAUAAGAGGCACAUCAUUGUCUGUCUGUAAAUAAAUGAUUGAAGGUCACCGGGGAUCA
rnacentral:lncRNA from 1 species